rnacentral:rRNA from 1 species
GAUGUCGGCUCAUCACAUCCUGGGGCUGAAGUAGGUCCCAAGGGUAUGGCUGUUCGCCAUUUAAAGUGGUACGCGAGCUGGGUUUAGAACGUCGUGAGACAGUUCGGUCCCUAUCUGCCGUGGGCGUUGGAUGAUUGAUUGGGGCUGCUCCUAGUACGAGAGGACCGGAGUGGACGCAUCACUGGUGUUCCAGUUGUCUCGCCAGAGGCAUUGCUGGGUAGCUAAAUGCGGAAGAGAUAAGUGCUGAAAGCAUCUAAGCACGAAACUUGCCAAGAGAUGAGUCAUCCCUGACUUUAAGUCAGUAAGGGUUGUUGUAGACUACGACGUAGAUAGGUCUAGUGUGUAAGUGUAGUGAUACAUUGAGCUAACAGAUACUAAUUGCCCGAGAGGCUUAACUAUACAACGCUCAAG